rnacentral:misc_RNA from 1 species
AAGUCGUAACAAGGUUUCCGUAGGUGAACCUGCGGAAGGAUCAUUAUUGAAUACACUUGAUGGGUUGUAGCUGGCUCUUUGGAGCAUGUGCACGCCUGUCUUGAUAUUAUUCAUCCACCUGUGCACCUUUUGUAGUCUUGGGGGCUGAGAGUAGCCAACUGUCGGGAGGGCCACAUGGCCUUACCGGAUGUGAGGAUUGCUGUGCGAAAGCAUGGCUCUCCUCAAAUGGCCGCAAACUCCCUCAAGUUCUAUGUUUUAUUCAUACACCACAUAGUAUGUUUCAGAAUGUAAUCAAUGGGCCUAUGUGCCUAUAAAACUUUAUACAACUUUCAGCAAUGGAUCUCUUGGCUCUC